rnacentral:rRNA from 1 species
AUUGAACGCUGGCGGCAGGCCUAACACAUGCAAGUCGAACGGUAACAGGAAGAAGCUUGCUUCUUUGCUGACGAGUGGCGGACGGGUGAGUAAUGUCUGGGAAACUGCCUGAUGGAGGGGGAUAACUACUGGAAACGGUAGCUAAUACCGCAUAACGUCGCAAGACCAAAGAGGGGGACCUUCGGGCCUCUUGCCAUCGGAUGUGCCCAGAUGGGAUUAGCUAGUAGGUUGGGUAACGGCUCACCUAGGCGACGAUCCCUAGCUGGUCUGAGAGGAUGACCAGCCACACUGGAACUGAGACACGGUCCAGACUCCUACGGGAGGCAGCAGUGGGGAAUAUUGCACAAUGGGCGCAAGCCUGAUGCAGCCAUGCCGCGUGUAUGAAGAAGGCCUUCGGGUUGUAAAGUACUUUCAGCGGGGAGGAAGGGAGUAAAGUUAAUACCUUUGCUCAUUGACGUUACCCGCAGAAGAAGCACCGGCUAACUCCGUG